UACGGAGGAUCCAAGCGUUAUCCGGAAUCGUUGGGUUUAAAGGGUCCGUAGGCGGUUUAAUAAGUCAGUGGUGAAAGCCCAUCGCUCAACGGUGGAACGGCCAUUGAUACUGUUAGACUUGAAUUAUUAGGAAGUAACUAGAAUAUGUAGUGUAGCGGUGAAAUGCUUAGAGAUUACAUGGAAUACCAAUUGCGAAGGCAGCUUACUACAGGGACAUGACACUGAGGCACGAAAGCGUGGG
rnacentral:rRNA from 1 species